CUAAGAAUAUUCCGCAAUGGGAGCAAUCCUGACGGAGCGACGCCGCGUGAACGAAGAAGGCAGAAAUGUUGUAAAGUUCUUUUAUAUGGGAAGAAUAAGAUUAGGAGUGGAAAGCCUAAUUGAUGACGGUACCAUAUGAAUAAGCCACGGCUAACUACGUGCCAGCAGCCGCGGUAAUACGUAGGUGGCAAGCGUUGUUCGGAUUCAUUGGGCGUAAAGGGCAUGUAGGCGGUUAGAUAAGUGUGAAUUAAAAUACCGAAGCUUAACUUCGCGUUUGGUUUGCAAACUAUCUGACUAGAGUGCAGAAUAAGAGACUAGAAUUCCGUGUGUAGGGGUGAAAUCUGUAGAUAUGCGGAAGAAUACUUGUGGCGAAGGCGAGUCUCUGGUCUGUAACUGACGCUAAUAUGCGAAAGUGUGGGUAGCAAACA
rnacentral:rRNA from 1 species